GACAAUACUUGUCGGAUUUAGGGACCGGCAGUCCACCAGGGGGUUACCCAAGUGGUAGAUUUGUAGGCGAGGGAGAUCGUAAGAUCAAGAACUCGAAUGGUAACACAGAGAUGCAAGGUUUAGACAGGUUCGGGCCUCCGGAGAGUAAUACCCUAUGUCCUGUGUUUUGGUGGAUUGUAUUGCUAGUAUGGGAUGCGAAGAGUUGAGAUGCCCUUGGGAGGCGUCCCUGGCCGCCUUAUAUAGGCUGACGCCUAGGGUUACAAUCGGAUAGGAUCUAAUCCUAGUCGGUUGUUACAUGAAAAGCAAUCUAAAUCGGUUU
rnacentral:lncRNA from 1 species